rnacentral:SRP_RNA from 1 species
GGUCUUGCGCAAUGGAUGCCCACGAAUCAUGUCAGGCGGGGAACCGAGCAGCAUUAAGAGGGAUCAUGCACGCAUAAUUUUU